ensembl:lncRNA
GUCUCUUAGCGCUGGUUUUGUGUUUUCUGCUUUGUGUUUAUGUCCAACUACUAAAGAAAGAAAGACCAUAUAUGUGUCCUCAUUGGGUACGGGAUUUGUGACGGUGUGUGGGGCUGCAGCCUACAGGUUUACAUCAUUAACUGGACUAACCGCUCUGCCGGCUUCUGGUGAUUGGAUCCAGGUUGAACUCGGGAAAAUAUGAGACAGAUCUUGAGUGAAGAGAGGUCAUGUGAAGACGUGCAGUGGGGAUCUCACACGCCAGAUCUCACCUGGGAAGAAGCAGAGGGUUAAGAUUUCAUGACUGCUGGUGGGCUCGCUUCCGGAAUCCUAAAACGUCAGCUGUCAGCUCCAAAACAAACACUGCCGACUCCAACGAAAGGGAAAAGGAAACACAGAACAAAUCAAGAGUUCUCUACUCCAUGAAAACCGCUGGCAGAGUAAUACAGUAUGACAUGAGUCGAGGAUCAUUUCUCUGGUUAUUUCCCAGGCACUCCCAGUGCAUCAGAGUGGAGAACUUAAAAAAGAAAAAGAUCUUGGCCGACCGAUGUCACAGCUAGUAAUUUUUCAGACAAAGGAACUUUUAACCGUGUUGUAUCCAUUCUAUUAUAUCGAGCGCCAUGAACU